ACUAUUGAGCCGUCCCUGUCUUUAGUAUACAUUUUUUUAUUCAUCGAACUAAAGCUGCCGGGAUUUUUUUGCAAAAUACUUUAUUCGCUCGUUCGUAUAGCGAAAAGCUGGUUGUUUUGUUCAACUUGGAUCAUCGAUAAGAUGCGCGUUUUCGCGGUCUGGCGGCGAGUCGCCGUGGACCGCGCUCAAUGGAUGGUGGACUGUCGAUUAUCGUCUAACAUGUCUGAGCACAACCCGGAAAUGAGGGCUACUGCGGCGCGCAUUUGCCGCGACUACUUGUAUGGUGUGUGGAAAAACGUUACCCCAGAUAAUAUUGUUCUUAAAAGGAUCAGCGGCGGUCUGAGCAACUGGCUGUACAACGUCCAGCUUCCCGAAAACGCGAUACCGGUGCGUGGCGAGCCAAGACAGGUCCUGCUGCGGCUGUACGGCCAGGUGCACGGGGAGCGCGCCCUCGAGGGCCUCAUCACCGAGUCCGUGAUCUUCACCCUACUGUCGGAGAGGCGGCUGGGCCCGAAGCUCCACGGCAUAUUCCCGGGCGGCCGCAUCGAGGAGUACAUACCUGCGCGGCCCUUGCUCACCAAGGAGCUCGCCGAUCCGAGCCUCAGUUGCCUCAUAGCCGAGAAAAUGGCCCAGAUACACAGCAUGCAGGUGCCGAUCAGCAAGGAGCCUACUUGGCUCUGGGACACGGCCAACAAGUGGCUGGACACAGCCAAUGACAUUCUCGAGAACGUCGAGGAUAUCGAUGGCAAGCAUCUCGAAAACGUCAACUUCAUCAAGGCCGCCGAUCUUGAGCACGAAAUCAAGUGGUUGAGGUCUCUAGUCAAUAAACAGAAACACCCGGUUGUAUUUUGCCACAACGACAUGCAGGAGGGCAACAUUUUGCUCCGCCAGAACUCCCAAAAGCCCGAACUGGUGGUAAUCGAUUUUGAAUACUGUUCCUACAAUUAUCGAGGCUUUGACGUGGCAAACCACUUCCUAGAAUGGCAGUACGAUUACACGGUGCCUACAUAUCCCUUCUUUACCGAGCGAGCUGGAUCUGUACCGACCAAAGAACAAAAGUUUCACAGGACCGCAAGUCGCACGCUGACAGAGAGAGCGAGCGAGAGAGCAAGCGAGAAAGGCACACUCAUGGUCAUGAUGUUGCCUGGCAAGCUGGGCUCACCCACACGUAGUUUGCGUACGGGGGAACCAGUGUGCGAGAUCAGACGUACACAUGACGAUGAUCGUUCAAACGGCAAGACACGCUGUCCAUCAAACGGGUGAGGAGGACAAAAGAAGAAGAAGAAGAAGAAGAUGACGGAGCUGUGACACAAAGUCGGCCUAUCAAUUAGAGACACUCCUGGAGGAGUGUCAAGGGACGGCCCCACAAGGGAUGCCAACCGAGUCGUCCUUCGCCCACGUCUCUGCAUCAUUAUAAAUAGACUCAAUUUCAUAAGGAGCUAUUUGAGGUCCACUGGAAAAGAGAGCCGUGCAGAGGAGGAUCGCAUCAUGGCAGAAGUCAA
rnacentral:misc_RNA from 1 species